GAUGAACGCUGGCGGCGUGCUUAACACAUGCAAGUCGAACGGAAAGGCCACAGCUUGCUGUGGUACUCGAGUGGCGAACGGGUGAGUAACACGUGGGUGAUCUGCCCUGUACUUCGGGAUAAGCUUGGGAAACUGGGUCUAAUACCGGAUAGGAAUCACAUGUGGGUGGGGGGUUGGAGAGCUUUUGCGGUAUGGGAUGAGCUCGCGGCCUAUCAGCUUGUUGGUGGGGUAGUGGCCUACCAAGGCGUCGACGGGUAGCCGGCCUGAGAGGGUGUACGGCCACAUUGGGACUGAGAUACGGCCCAGACUCCUACGGGAGGCAGCAGUGGGGAAUAUUGCACAAUGGGCGCAAGCCUGAUGCAGCGACGCCGCGUGGGGGAUGACGGCCUUCGGGUUGUAAACUCCUUUCGUCAGUGACGAAGCGAAAGUGACGGUACCUGGAUAAGAAGCACCGGCUAACUACGUG
rnacentral:rRNA from 1 species